GGCUAGGUAGCUCAAUAGGUAGAGCACCUGGUAUAUAUUCAGGAGGCCUGGCUGCCUGCCAGUGGGUUCAAACCCCAGUCUGGUCA